UACGUAGGGUGCUAGCGUUGUCCGGAUUUAUUGGGCGUAAAGGGCUCGUAGGUGGCCUGUCGCGUCGGCUGUGAAAACUCGGGGCUCAACUCCGAGCUUGCAGUCGAUACGGGCAGGCUAGAGUUCGGCAGGGGAGACUGGAAUUCCCGGUGUAGCGGUGAAAUGCGCAGAUAUCGGGAGGAACACCGGUGGCGAAGGCGGUUCUCUGGGCCUGUACUGACGCUGAGGAGCGAAAGCGUGGGGAGCGAACAGG
rnacentral:rRNA from 1 species